CAGCCGCCGCGGUAAUACGAAGGGUGCAAGCGUUACUCGGAAUUACUGGGCGUAAAGCGUGCGUAGGUGGCGGUUUAAGUCCGUUGUGAAAGCCCUGGGCUCAACCUGGGAAUUGCAGUGGAUACUGGGUCACUAGAGUGUGGUAGAGGAUAGUGGAAUUUCCGGUGUAGCAGUGAAAUGCGUAGAGAUCGGAAGGAACAUCUGUGGCGAAGGCGACUAUCUGGGCCAACACUGACACUGAGGCACGAAAGCGUGGGGAGCAAACAGGAUUAGAUACCCCAGUAGUCCCUGUCUCUUAUAC
rnacentral:rRNA from 1 species